AGACACAUAAAAGAGAUACAGUGUGAAGCUCACUACUGUCUCUUUAAACCUCAUAGUUCCUCCCUCCUCCCUCCUCAGAGCCAGAGAGAGAGAGAGCCAUCUUCACUAGCAUCCAAAGCCUGUCCAUAAACUCCAGCCUCUUCCCCCUCCAUCAGGCAGGAGCGACCGAGAGAGAGAGAGAGAGAGAAAGAGAGAGAGAGAGAGGGAGAGAGAGAGGGCGAUCAGAGUGUGCGUGGAUCCACAGGGUUUGAAAUAGGAGGCAAAGGCAGCAUCCCUCCCUCAGUCAGAGGCUGUCGUCACGGCGACAGAAGGUGUCUGCUCCACGGCCGAGAGACGGAAUGUGAGGUGGAAACGGUCGCCACAGCAACAAGAGCAUCUGAGGACUUCCAGGAUUCCAAGCAGGAGCGGAGAAGCCAAGGCUGCCGGGGGCUUGAAAAGAGGGGAACCGGGGCCAGUCUUUCAUCCACCACCUCCUCCCUCACUCCUCCUCCUCCUCCGCUGCUGCUUCACUUUCUCUCUGAAGGACAGCUCUGAAUGAACCCUCCUGCUAUCAGUGGGUGAGUGUGGCUGAAUGGACGCUGAAAGGAAAGACAUAAAAGAGUAGGAUUGUGCGUGGAAACGGGAGAGAGAGAAGUGGGGGUGAUUAAGAGGAAUACGACGUGCGUGAGGGUCUCUGACGCCACAUCAAAAUGGGAAGGAUGAGCGGAGCUCAGCUGAGCUGGAAACUGUAUUCCUGUCGUUCCUCAGGAGAGUGGGAAGGCAAACCUGCAUGCACUUUCUACCACUGACCAGGUGAGAGUGAGACAGCGUGCCAGAGAUCACUGUCUUAUGAAGUGUACUUCCACGGGGACUGGUGGGAGUCAAUCUGGUGUUGUCUCUUUGGGCUGCGCCUCAAAGGGUCAAGUUCUCCCCUUUUAUUAUCUUCCAAUUCUUCCUGGAGCAAAAGACAUGGAAUUUACCUUCUCUGAUGGCUUUUGAAAAAAUGCUAACAACUGGAUUCCACUCGUAAUUGAAGGAAACUAGAUUGAGACCCAUCUUUAUCCAGCAAUUGAACAAAAUGGGUGAGAAAUGUCUCUCUGACCCGGAGGAAAGGAUGCGUCAUUCCGUCUGACGCCCCUGAGGGAUUACGUGUGAAACGUUCAUCAUAACACGUAUUAUCCAGUUCAAGGACAACUAAAGUUGGAAUAUUUUACCUUUUGGUUAGACUUUUUUUGUUUUGUUUUUUACUCGGAACUCAAAAAAAACAAAAAA